UAGGGAAUCUUCCACAAUGGGCGCAAGCCUGAUGGAGCAACACCGCGUGAGUGAAGAAGGGUUUCGGCUCGUAAAGCUCUGUUGUUAAAGAAGAACACGUAUGAGAGUAACUGUUCAUACGUUGACGGUAUUUAACCAGAAAGUCACGGCUAACUACGUGCCAC
rnacentral:rRNA from 1 species